GGGUAUGUAGAAAGUUCGAGAGCAAGUUGGCUGGCAGAUGGCAGAUGCAGAAGACCCCGGACGGCUGCAGAGGGGUCGGCAGGAUGCAGACUGGCAGGAAACGGGCUCACAGCAGAUGGACCGACUGCGCUUAACUACAUAGCAGGUAGGCUGACAUGGCCUGGGCACACAGACUUUUGGCAAGCAGGGGCUGGGCUCAGAGCAGAUGGGUUGGCAGAUGCUGGAGACGCAGCAAGAGGGCUCCUGGCAAGUGCUGGAAACACAAGGUGGCUCGCGAGGGCUUGGGACACAGCAGACCGGGCGGACACAGACAGGCUCACAGACCAGAGAUACGCCGGUGGCUGGCUGGCAGAUGCUGGGCUCCGAGCAGGAUGGCUCACAAGGACUGGAGUCACAGCAGACAGACUGGCAGCUAUUGGCCACAGAGCAGACAGAUGGAGAGCAGCUCGGCCUGGGGCACACGGGCUGACAGCAAGCAGGCUCACAGAUCACUGGCUGGCAGGAAGUAGGCACAGUGCACACAGCUGGCUGGCAGCAGCUGGGUUUGCAGAGGAUGGUCUGGCAGGAAGUGGGCACACAGAGGACUGGUUGGCAGGAAGGGGCUUUGCAGCACACAGGCUGGGCACAGCUGCUCACAGAACAGGUGGGCUCACAGAUGGUGGCCUCACAGCACACAGGCUGGGCACAGCAGCUCACGGGGCAGGUGGGCUCACAGAUGGUGGCCUCGCAGCACACGGGCUGGGCACAGCUGCUCACAGAACAGGUGGGCUCACAGAUGGUGGCCUCGCAGCACACGGGCUGGGCACAGCAGCUCACGGGGCAGGUGGGCUCACAGAUGGUGGCCUCGCAGCACACAGGCUGGGCACAGCUGCUCACAGAACAGGUGGGCUCACAGAUGGUGGCCUCGCAGCACACGGGCUGGGCACAGCAGCUCACGGGGCAGGUGGGCUCACAGAUGGUGGCCUCAUAGCACACGGGCUGGGCACAGCUGCUCACGGAACAGGUGGGCUCACAGAUGGUGGCCUCACAGCACACAGGCUGGGCACAGCAGCUCACGGGGCAGGUGGGCUCACAGAUGGUGGCCUCGCAGCACACAGGCUGGACACAGCUGCUCACAGAACAGGUAGGCUGACAGCCCUGGGAGCCACAGCUGGAUGAUCCACAGCUAUCUUGACAAGUCACCAACUGCCACGUCUGGCUCCGGCAGGAACUGGGCAAGCAAAUUGGCCCACUGCAGCUCACCUCAGUGGAGCAGAGGGAUAUGGCUGGCACAGAGGGGCAUUUCCUAGAACAGCAGUUUCCAGACAUGGUGAAGGUACCUCUGCCCCCUCGUGAGUGCUGAGAGGUUGCUGCCUGACUGGGGCAGCACUCCGGGGCCCUCACUUUUAUACCCCUACUUCCUGGCACGUGCUGUUUUGAGCCCCUGCAUCUUUUCCUCAUUGCUGUUUGGGCCAGUUUGUGGAGGAGCAGCUUAUUAAGUCCAUGUUUGUUGAUCUUGAAGUUGUAUCUACUCAUAAGGGAGCUGUUUGUUUACUGACUUGCUAAAGUGGGACUCCUCAGAGCUACAGGUCAUCUUGAAAUAAGUACCAUCGCCUCCAAGCUGAAUGGUCUGUGUUUCUGGGCCUCAGGAACAAGGGGAGAGGAAAGGAACGUUUAAUUUAAGCAUCAUCUCGUCCUUUGCACCGGGCUCUGGGCUGGACACAAAGGACACCCACACGAAUAAGAUCGACUCACUCCCAUGGAUCCCACUCUCUGCUGGGCAAGCAUGCAAGCAAACUCAUUGCAAUGCAACAAUAAACUCAACAGUAGACUAAAGGGAAUAGCAGAGAGGAGCAGUGAUGUGCUCUGUGGGAGAGGGGAUAUCUGGGUUGCAUUUUGGGGGGGCCACACCCAUGGCAUGCAGAAGUUCCCAGUGCGGGAAUCAAACCCACCUCACAGCAGCACUGUAGUGACAAAGCUGGACCCUUAACCCACUCAGCCGCAAGGGAACUUCUGGGCUGCAUUUUAAAUGACUGCACUUCACAGCAACAAUCUCACUUAAAACUAUCAUAAGUCCUGUGAGUCAGGGAUUCAUCUCCCCCCACUAUGGGUGAAGAGAAAGAAAGGGGGUUAGAAUCAGAAAGUUUGUCACCUGCUAAAGAUCACAUACUGCUUGCCUCCUCAUCUAGGGCUGCUCUUCUUCCUCUUCACCAUCUUGUCUGGACAGACCUUUCUCAAGAGCCACAUGUCACAGGCUCAGCCCACAAUGCUCUCCUCCAUUCUGUUCUGUGAGCAGCCCUACCCUAAAACACUGGCUCUACCUGACCCUGGAAAGCACCUGACCUGUCCUCUCUGCUUUUCCUCCCUCCUUUUCUUCUACCCACCCCCUUCUCAAGCACUCCGUGGACCUCCAGAGUCCUUCUUGACUUGGAUGAUUUUAACAGCUACUAAAAGAAAGACAAGAUCCAAAGGGUAAACAUAAAAGAUAAGAGAUCUUUCACAAAGACAGAGUGAACAAAACUGAAGAACACAAAGGCUUUCCCAAAGAAUUUUGUCAUUGCUACCACUUGAGACAGACCUGAGGUGAAAAAUGAACCUUAGGUUUCUAAACCCCAAGGCCUGGCAUCCUUGCAGAAUGAAGGACUCACCUUGCUUUUGCUAUGUGCUUUCAAUAUCAAUGCAAAAGGCAAGCUCUCCUUUAGAAAAGCUGGACCAUUG
rnacentral:lncRNA from 1 species